rnacentral:misc_RNA from 1 species
GAUGAAGAACGUAGCGAAAUGCGAUAAGUAGUGUGAAUUGCAGAAUUCAGUGAAUCAUCGAAUCUUUGAACGCACAUUGCGCCCCUUGGUAUUCCAUGGGGCAUGCCUGUUCGAGCGUCAUUUCAACCAUCAAGCCCUAGGCUUGCGUUGGAGCCCUGCGGCUGCCGCAGGCUCCCAAAUCCAGUGGCGGGCUCGUCGUCGUACCGAGUGCAGUAAACAUCCUCGCUCAGGGAACGUGACGGGUUCUUGCCGUGAAACCCCCCACAUAUCAAGGUUGACCUCGGAUCAGGUAGGAAUACCCGCUGAACUUAAGCAUAUCAAUAAGCGGAGGA